GGUAGGCGCACUGACAACCUUCAAAUGUUACGCCACCUACUGUUUCCCCGCUUCUUCUUCUUCUGACGUUAACUGAUGGCAAAUAACGCGUCAUGUCCGCCGCCGUCUGAUAGAAAGCAUACAUUUUCAAAUCAUUUGAAAAUGAUGUCCUAGCCAAAAAGGGCUAUUUUCAGAUGGACAUAUAAGGAGAAAAUGAACUUGAUGUAAAUCCUGAGAUCGCGAGAUUUGGCACGGCACUCCAUGAAUCUGUCCAAUCAGAUUGGCUUUUCCUGAAAAACACGCAUGCGCAUUAAGUGGGCGGAUGUAAUGAUUUCGAUGGGAAGAAAUAAUAUUCAGCAUCGAAGGAAUAACAACUGAAAGGGGUCCGGUCCGAUGACCAUGGAUGAAGUACUGGCUGUCCAGAGUCGAGACCCAGGAUGGACCGCUCGUCGGGACCCAGGAUGGACCGCUCGCCUCUAUCGGUUGGGGACAUCUCUACGCUGCUGAUCCGCCUCCGCUUGGGAUGGUUUCCUGUGGACGGGACUCUUGCUGCUGUCUUGGAUCCGCUUUGAACUGAACUCUCGCGGCUGUGUUGGAGCCACUAUGGAUUGAACUUUCACAGUAUCAUGUUAGACCCGCUCCACAUCCAUUGCUUUCGGUCCCCUAGAGAGGGGGGUGGUUGCCCACAUCUGAGGUCCUCUCCAAGGUUUCUCAUAGUCAGCAUUGUCACUAGCGUCCCACUGGGUGUGAGUUUUCCUUGCCCUUUUGUGGGUUCUUCCGAGGAUGUUGUAGUCGUAAUGAUUUGUGCAAUCCUUUGAGACAUUUGUGAUUUGGGGCUAUAUAAAUAAACAUUGAUUGAUUGAUUGAUUUAUAUAGUAUUGGAGUGUCGAAAUGACAAAAGGAAAAGCUGGAAAACGAUGAAGAAGAACUGGUAAAGAAGUGGAAUCAAAUAAAAGAUCAAGAAGGACUGUAAAGUUGCUGAGUAGACUGGUAUAGUGGUGGUGCAUUAAACUGGCAGCAGAUAUAAUAUGUGAUACUUUCUUUUUCUUCCUGCAGUCAUCCCGUCCUGCAGCAUGCACCUAUGUGAAUGUGGAGAAUGACCAGCAAUGUCCAAGUAAGUUAUAUGUAUAUGCCUGUUCUUUCUUGAAGUCAAUUAGUUCUGAUUGAGAUUUACAGAUAAAAAGCUGUCCACAGUUUGUCAGGAACAAACAUGAAAAUAUUGCUUUCUUUGACCCUGAUUACAUUAGCACAUAUGAAGAAUGAAACUUCAAAUAGGAGUUAUCUCAGCAUGUGUAAUUCAUGUUUUUGGAACCUUUCACCUCCAAGUUAAAGCUGGUAGGUAACAUCAGGUCAUGACUAAGGAUGUAACAAUAUCAACAUUUCACGGUAUGAUAUCGUCAUAGUGUUAAAGCCAGGGUAAGAUAUUGUUACAAAAAUGUCAAAGUGUGUUAAAUGACGUGGGAGGAAUGUUUAGGAUAAACACACUUACUGUAAUUGAACACAAACAUCAUUUUCAUAUGUUGUAAUCAUAUUUAUCAUUAAAAACAGGUAUUUUAGGUGCAAAGGAAUGGUGCAGAAUUUCAAGUAACACACAAAAACCAACAUUUUCAAAUAAGUGUCUUUAAACUGACAUAAACAGUAAACAUCCAGUGUAACUAAUGUAGAACAAUAAUGUUUCUUUUGCCAAGAAACUAUACUGUGUGUCCGGUAUGUUUUUUUUUCAAUACAACUUGGUAUUAUUGUGGGUUUGAUGACCUUUUUAGCACAUUCAACAAUACUGCCAUUAUAAUGCAAACAGUGAUCAUUUUGGUCACAGUAACGGUGAUAUGACAUUUUGAUAUUGUUACAUCACUGCUGUUUAGUUGAGUGUUUUUAAACUUUGAACUUCCUAAGAAAUUGCCCUUUGCAGUCCAAAUUGUAUUAGUUUGUAGAAUACUGAUUCUUAAGAGUUAACUAAUAAUUUGACUUUUAAUCAUGUAAAUACCUCACAAAUGCAUAUUUUCCCUUGCUGACAUCUUGGUUUCACAUGAACGAUAUUUUCCAAAUAACGUUUCUAACAUAUAACUCAUUCUAAUAUAUUACUCCUAUUCCCUAACUUAUUGUAGACAUUGUGGUGUGUAGUGUCAGCAAAUGUCUUAUUUUGUGCAUGUCCACAUUUCCUCUGGUGAGCUGCAAGGGCUCUGGGUCGAUUUGGAAAUGGUCUGGAUGAACGUGGCAUGCUUUACCUUGCAGUAUGCAGACUUUGUUUAAGGUUCAACUAACACGACAGUUAUAGGCACAGAAAUAUUUCACAGCAACAAUUCCUCGGCUAACCUAAGCACAAACGUUCCCAUCACUCCUGCACACUUCCACUUUUUCGCCCUUCUAUAAUGUCCCGUUUGAACGUUGUUUUCCCACACGGCGGGUUUUCAUGGGAGAACCAGUUUACUUCUCAGAUGAGCCCACUUAAUAUUGUCAGAAAAAAACACAGCGACUGGUGUUCUCGUUUGAUAGCGUCACACAUCACGGCAUUAUUGUGACAAUUUUGAAAUCAAAAUAAGGUUAUAUUUACAAUAAUGUUGCAUCCCUCGUCAAGAUCCUUUCUCAUAGGUUUGGUUUGCUGUUGUGUAUUUACUAAUGAUUGGCAUUAGCAUCCACAACUUUCUUUUUAUAGUGUGUGUUGUAUUGUGAUGAGUUACAUUUAACACUGUGGAUGAUGUGUUACCACAAACACAGAAGAUACGUAAACAUGAACUACAAUGCGCUCAAGAUGUGGGGAAAAAGGAAAUGCAUUCCAUUAGCUGGAUUUGUAUAAUGUGUUCAAUUUAUGUCAACUUCCUUCUUGUUUUGCAUGUUUUUGUCUGUUUUUUUUUUCAAUGAUUUGAAUCUUUAGAGUUUUUUGGUUCCUCUUCUUUGUGUCAGGGGGUAGCAGCAGGGUAACACUGCAUGAGGCGGUGCCCCCUGAAGGAGCCCAAAACACUGCUCUUCAAAUGGAACACAUCCAACCUUCAGGUGACCGUGCAGGAUGUACCACUCUGGAACAUCAAGCCUCUCCCCACCUGCCAGGUACACCCACCGUCUUCUGUGGCUGAAUAAUGUUUUGCUGUGAAUUUUGUCACAAAGCAAAUCCUGCUCAAAUGUGACAAACUUUGGAGUGUAAGAAUGUGAGCGAUAUGCUGAGAUGUUAUACGUUUUGCCUUGUGACAAAAUGUUAUCAAAAAACCUUUAGUGAUUUGUAUUCUAUUUUAAUUUCAGCACAUGAAAAUAUUUCUACUUCUGACCAUCGAAGAGAAUGGAAAACCAUUUUCCAGAUCAGCCCUCAUACAUCCUCCUGAUGGCCUAACAACUGAAUGACAUGUCGAUGCUGAGUAUGAUCCAUUUCAAUCAUUUGAGGAAGCUCUCCCUGAUAUAGGGGAUUGGAUGUACAAUGACGGACAUACGUUUAAUGAAGGAUUUGAAGAUGGUUUGAGUGAGGAGUGUGCAGAAGAGUCCAAUUUCAAGGACACAACAGACAAACCAAUACAUGACAAUGCAUCAGAAACCAUGGCAGAGUGCCUUCUGAUCAGCAUGGGUUAUGUAAACUGUCCUAAAGUCACAGGUAAGGCCCUAAGCCAUAUGCUCAAAAUGUUCAAGUUGCUUUAUCCCGAUAGUCUGAACACAGACUGCUUAAACAGUGUGCAGAAGUUCCAAAACUUUUUUUUAUCCCACUCUGCAUCAUCGCCUACUAUAUUACAUAAAUCCUCCAAGAAUUGUUUUGGGCCAAUAGAAAGUAAACAAAUAAAAUGCCUGCUUUGUGGGACCAGUGUGUCAGAAGAAAGGUUCUAAUCCUUUUUUUAAAGUAUGUACAGAUUGAUUUCUUGUUUACCACAGCACAUUCAUGUGCCAAAUGGGCCCUCGUUGGUGAAUAUAAACAUGCAGGUUUUUCUUUGCUGCAAGAUAGUGUAACAUAUGAGACAUGCAUUCAUGUUAUUCCCCUAUUGGAAACCUCUGCAGUACAGUAGUAUUCUUGGAUGACAUGUUGGGUAAAGUUGUUUUCCUUGACUUCACAUCUAUGCCUGGCAUAGUGAUUGCAGUUCAUUUCCCCAACACACUUGAAAAGUUUGAAAUAAUGAAGAACUGAACUGGCCUAAGAAGCCACAAAUCAAAUCUUUAAUCAUUGUUAUAAAUGCUCUGAAAAUACACACUGAUGUGAUGUUGCCGUGGAUUCUGUAAAUAUGUACUGUAUAUGGAGUAUCAUUGUUGAUGAUGUUUUUGCAUUGUGUGUAAUAUUUCAGUGGCAAAUAUAUUACAUUUACUUGUUUAAUAAAGCCACUGUCUUUUUUAAUGAAUACAUAGGCCUACUAUGCUACUGCAUUUUAAUAUUAGUCCUUAUGAUGGUGGUUGGAGAGCCAAAUAUCUUCUGAAGUGGUACUUUGUUAAAAGAGUUUGAGAACCACUGCUCUAGAAAGUUCACAAAUGUUAAAAGCUCUUACAAAGUGUCUUGUGAUCAUAUCAGUAUUGUUUGGGUUCAGUUUUAAAUCUCACAAUUGUAGUCACUGAGUUACUGUACAUGACGUGUGGAUAAGAAAUCAACAAAUUAAGUCCAACUUUAUUUAAAUAAACCAUUUAGAUUACAGACCAUAUAUCCAUAUUGUCUGAAUUCAUUAUUUUCUCCCAAUGUUGGCAUAAGAUCAACUGGAAUAUGAUUGAGGUAUAACUAAAUUGAGCCCAUUAAAAUGCAUUUUUUUAGAAAACGGGUAUAUCUAACAACUCAAAUAGUGAGCAGUGAGAGACAAAACCAAGUAUAUCUCUCACUGAGACAUCAUUGAGACAUAUUGAAACCAAUACUCAUCAAUUGUCUUUUUGCCGAAAUAGAAAAGAGACAUCUGAGAACUCAAACAGUGAGUAGUGAGAAACAAAACCAGGUGUUUCUCUCACUGAGUCAUAAUUGAGACAUAUUGGAGACCAGCUCAUUCAUCUCUCAUUUUGGUCUUAGUUGAAAUGGGGAAAAGAGAUAACUAUUAGACAACUAUGAGAUCUCUCAUAGUGCUCACUGUGAGCCUUAUUUCUCAGGAGAUACAUUUGAGAAGAAUGAGAAAACUACUUUGGUCUCCAUUAGUGCUCUUUUAUGUCUAGGAGAUAGAUAUAAGACAUACAUGAGAUCUCAUCUUCAAUUUUGCUUUGCUAUGGGAAACAAGUGUUUGAUGAGCAUUCCUCAACUUUUUCGGUCUUUUUUGACACUCGUGCCAGCUUUUUUUAAGCUUGUUGCAGGCAUCAAAUUCCAAAAUGAGCUAAUAUUUGCAAAAAAAAAAGUUUCUCAGAUCCAACAUCAAAUAUCUUGUCUUUGCAGUCUAUUCAAUUGAAUAUAAGUUAAAAAGGAUUUACAAAUCAUUGUAUUCUGUUUUUAUUUACCAUUUACACAACGUGCUACUUCACUGGUUUGGGGUUUUGUACAUGUUGACAGUACAUUGCAGUGUUAUUUUGUUACAGCCGUGCCCACUGUGUGAAGUACUUUUGCAAGACUCCUAGCAAUAAUAUUACACUUCACCAAAGAGCCUGCUGUAAAAGAAAUGACCAUUGAAUGAAGAUACAUACUCAGGUCACCGUGAUCUGAAAAGGAGAGUGAAGAAUGUUUUUGUAUUCCCCAGAUUCUAAUCAUCUUGGAUGAAUAAACAAGCAAUUCCUAAUUUCA